rnacentral:rRNA from 1 species
CCUACGGGUGGCAGCAGUGAGGAAUAUUGGUCAAUGGACGAGAGUCUGAACCAGCCAAGUAGCGUGAAGGAUGACUGCCCUAUGGGUUGUAAACUUCUUUUAUAUGGGAAUAAAAUGUUCCACGUGUGGGAUUUUGUAUGUACCAUAUGAAUAAGGAUCGGCUAACUCCGUGCCAGCAGCCGCGGUAAUACGUAGGAUCCGAGCGUUAUCCGGAUUUAUUGGGUUUAAAGGGAGCGUAGGUGGAUUGUUAAGUCAGUUGUGAAAGUUUGCGGCUCAACCGUAAAAUUGCAGUUGAAACUGGCAGUCUUGAGUACAGUAGAGGUGGGCGGAAUUCGUGGUGUAGCGGUGAAAUGCUUAGAUAUCACGAAGAACUCCGAUUGCGAAGGCAGUUCACUGGACUGCAACUGACACUGAGGCUCGAAAGUGUGGGUAUCAAACAGGAUUAGAUACCCGUGUAGUC